rnacentral:rRNA from 1 species
ACGUGCGGUUCUAUUUUGUUGGUUUCUAGAGUCGCCGGUAAUGAUUAAUAGGGACAGUUGGGGGCAUUGGUAUUCGGGCGCUAGAGGUGAAAUUCUUGGAUUGCCCGAAGACUAACUACUGCGAAAGCAUUUGCCAAGGAUGUUUUCAUUGAUCAAGGACGAAGGUUAGGGGCUCGAAAACGAUCAGAUACCGUUGUAGUCUUAACAGUAAACUAUGCCGACUAGGGAUCGGGCGACCUCAAUCUGAUGUGUCGCUCGGCACCUUGCGAGAAAUCAAAGUCUUUGGGUUUCUGGGGGGAGUAUGGUCGCAAGGCUGAAACUUAAAGGAAUUGACGGAAGGGCACCACCAGGAGUGGAGCCUGCGGCUUAAUUUGACUCAACACGGGGAAACUAAAACAGAAAAAAGACAUGACUAGGAUUGACAGAUUGAUAGCUCUUUCAUGAUCUCAUGGGUGGUGGUGCAUGGCCGUUCUUAGUUGGUGGAGUGAUUUGUCUGGUUAAUUCCGAUAACGAACGAGACCUUAACCUGCUAAAUAGCCAGGCCGGCUUUGGCUGGUCGCGGGCUUCUUAGAGGGACUGUCAGCGUCUAGCUGACGGAAGUUUGAGGCAAUAACAGGUCUGUGAUGCUCCUUAGAUGUUCUGGGCCGCACGCGCGCUACACUGACAGAGCCAGCGAGUUUCUCUCCUUGGCCCGGAAGGUCCGGGUAAUCCUUGUGAAACUCUGUCCGUGC